rnacentral:rRNA from 1 species
ACUUAAAUUGAAGAGUUUGAUCAUGGCUCAGAUUGAACGCUGGCGGCAGGCCUAACACAUGCAAGUCGAGCGGCAGCGGGAAAGUAGCUUGCUACUUUUGCCGGCGAGCGGCGGACGGGUGAGUAAUGCCUGGGGAUCUGCCCAGUCGAGGGGGAUAACAGUUGGAAACGACUGCUAAUACCGCAUACGCCU